rnacentral:lncRNA from 1 species
AAAGCACAGAGCUAGUGGUUAUGGUGCCAAACAGCUGUUCAGGAGCUGCGACGGGUGUCUAACUGCUCACUGAAGAGGUCAAAGAGAGCUUUGAGAAAUGCUUGCCCUGACAGUGAUGUUUGUUCUCUCAGUGCUACCGCUGAUCGCCUUCAUACCAGCCAAUCGCAUAGCUGAGAACUCAAGCAAGCACGAAAUAGAAAAACCUCAAUUUGAAGAGUUUUAUAUUGAAAAUAUCCAGGAUUUCCUGAUUAUUUUACAGACAAGCUAACGAAAUUCAGUAGAUGACCUGCGUUUCAUCGCUGCCAGAUGAUAAACAUUUGGGAGCAGGGACCACUUGCUGAAAGGCAUCUUGAGAGAUAUGCUCCCACUUCUCAGAUCGGAAGACUAAGGCCCCAAAGCCUCCAGAUCUAGCCUCUUAAUCCAGGCUUCUUCUUAGCCACUGUGGUCUCACCCCGUUUAUCAGGCAGUGGGAUCUGUCUGCCCCACCCAACUCCAGAGCUUUUCCUUUUGUUUUGGAAUUGCCCUUGAGUUCUGCGCUGCUCUUCUCCUCUUCCCCGUGGGUAUGAAAACACCAAGGAUGUCAACAGGAAAAGACAAGGAUCUGUAAACAGAGAAGCGAGCAGGAAACAAGGCCCGCAUUCAUGGGAAUAAACUCAGCAACCCUAGAACAUUUGCCAUUCAUAACGGCAAAUUUUAAUCAGUGGUGCUGAGAAACUCUUCCCAAGCAAAAAAGGCUUGUGUCUCUCUGGGGUGGGCCUCUCUCCUUGCUCCAAAUCUGGUCUUAGUUCCCAGUCUAAGGUAGCUAGGGGAUCUUCACAGCACACUCCUUGAACAAUAUCACAUUUAUAUAACCUUGCCCCUCCCUUGUUUGUGAGUCUGGCUAUUUCUUUCCCUGUUAAAAGACAAAACCCCAACCUCGUCAUAGAACACCCACCAAACAAGAGCAGGAAUCCCUCUUUAUCUGAUGGGCUUGCCAUGCAGAGCUGCGGACCCUGAGUUGCCUGGCAGAUGGGAAGCAAGCCCAUCCUGCCCUGUGGAGGGGAGGGGCGGAGGAGAGCCCACUGCCAGUCCACAGCGGCCACACUGGAGAGACCUGCAAAUCCGGGCUGGCCGUGCAAAUCCGGGCUCAUUGUCAGGCUGGCAGCAUUGGCCAGGCCUGAGUAAAUCAAGUGAAACAGAAGACAGAUGGAUGUGACCAAGUUAUUGCCAAGAGGAAACAGACAAGGAUCUUGCUCUGUUACCCAGGCUGGAAGACAGUGGUGUGGACACAGCUCACUAUGGCCUGGACCGUCCUGGGAUGAAGCGAUCCUCCCACCUCAGCCUCCCAAGUAGCUAGAUCUAUAGACACAUGCCACUAUGCCAGGCUAAUUAUUUUAUUUUUUUGUAGAGAUGGGGUCUCACUUUUUUGCUCAGGUUGGUCCCAAACUCCUGGUCUCAAGUGAUCCUCCUGCCUCAGCCUCCCCAAGUGCUGGGAUUACCCCUGUGCCUAAAGUCUAUUUUUUUUUUUUCUUUAAGGAUCUCUUACCAUCUUUGAGAAGAGUAUCUUGUAUGAAUUGUAGAGACGCAUGAUAGAAGUCAGGAAGAGUGGCUGGGUUGAGGGAGGCUUUUUAUUGCAAUAAUCCAGGUGUCAGGGGACAAGAAGCAGGACUAGGACAUUAAUAGCUGGGAUGGAGAGAUUAGGGAACUUUCGAAAGCAAAUGGAGGAAAGGGUAAAGUCAGGGUGUGGUAGCUAGUUUCUAAAGAUUGUUCCCAGUGAACCACACCCAGUAGUGUUGUCUCACAUUGAUUCUGGACUGGGCCAUUCAAACUGAGGGAAUGAGGCAAGAUGGUACUACGUUGACUUCUCAUGACUUCCAAGGCUAGGUUGGAGGAAGGUUUGCCUGGGCCUCUUGGAAUGAGAACCCAGCUCUCACGCCGUGAGAAGCCCAAACCACCCAGCUGAGCUCCUAGCUACCAGCCAGCAUCACCCACCAGCCACAGGAGUGAGCCAUCUUGGGCAGCUAGUCCAGCUGAGCCAUGAGAUGACGGCAGCCCCAGACAACAUCUGUCCUUAAUGACCUAAGAUAACCCAACAAGAACUACCUGCCUGAGCCAAUGGACCUCCAGAAUCAGGAAGGACAGUAAGAAAUUGCUGCACCACUGAGUUUUGGGGAGGUUUAUUUUGUAGCAUUAAAGAGCCAGAACACAGAGAACACACCAGGUUGUGCUUGAGUGACUGGAGGGAGGGUGAUAUUAUUAACUGAGGUAGACAAUGUGGGAGAAAGAAUAGGUUUGGUGGGGUAAAUAGGUUUUGUUUUGGACUUCGAGAUGCCUGAGGUACUUCUAGAUGUAGUUCCUUGGUAGACAUCUGUAUGUACAAAUCCAAAAGCCAAUGAAGAGAUCUAGGCUGAAGAUGGAGAUCUGGAAGACAUCAGCAUAUAGCCCUGAGUGCAUCACCCUACCCAAAAAGUAGGACUACCCCUUCUGUAAAGAUUAGUCCAAACAGCACUUCCUCUAUGGAGAAUCCAUUGGCAUUGGUUUCUAAAAACCAGCUAUUCUUUUCCCAAUAAUUCGGUAGUUCUUUGGCAAUAUCUUAUCUACAUCUCUUACCACACUACCCUAUAAUGAUAUAUUUACAUGUCUG